GAUGAACGCUGGCGGCGUGCCUAAUACAUGCAAGUCGAGCGAACAGACGAGGAGCUUGCUCCUUCGACGUUAGCGGCGGACGGGUGAGUAACACGUAGGUAACCUACCUAUAAGACUGGGAUAACUUCGGGAAACCGGAGCUAAUACCGGAUAAUAUUUCGAACCGCAUGGUUCGAUAGUGAAAGAUGGCUUUGCUAUCACUUAUAGAUGGACCUGCGCCGUAUUAGCUAGUUGGUAAGGUAACGGCUUACCAAGGCAACGAUACGUAGCCGACCUGAGAGGGGGACCGGCCACACUGGAACUGAGACACGGUCCAGACUCCUACGGGAGGCAGCAGUAGGGAAUCUUCCGCAAUGGGCGAAAGCCUGACGGAGCGACGCCGCGUGGGUGAUGAAGGUCUUCGGAUCGUAAAACUCUGUUAUUAGGGAAGAACAAACGUGUAAGUAACUGUGCACGUCUUGACGGUACCUAAUCAGAAAGCCACGGCUAACUACGUG
rnacentral:rRNA from 1 species